rnacentral:lncRNA from 11 species
AGUAAUUACUGUAUUUACAAAUUUAGCACCAAAAUAUCACGAUGUAUUGAAAACAUUGACUUCAAAAAUGCGUUGGAUAAUCUAGAAUGUUGGAUAAGCGAGUGUUGGAUAAGUGAGACUCUACUGUACUGCAAAUAAAAUAAUAAUAUAUCUGAACAUUUGUUGGGGCUCAUUGGGAAACUUUUGCAGCUGAAAAUAUUUGAGAACCCCUGAUCUAAACAUUCCUAUUGGUGUAGGCUGCCCAUUCCAAAGUUAGAUACACAUUAAUCAGGACUAAUUAAGAAUGAAUGUUCUAGGUCAGUGAUGGCCAACCUAUGACACGCGUGUCAGCAUUGACACGCCUAGCCAUUUUUGCUGCCACAUGCAGAUUGAUUGGAUGACUAAUGUCUUUUGUUUACUCCAUGGGAAUUAUGCACAUUACAUUUAUAUUUAUACUACCUGUGCCUGGCCACGCGUUGCUGUGUUGUUGUCUGGUGGUGUUGGUGAGAAAUUGUUGAGCUAGUGGUGGUAUUGAAUGUCUGUUGUAUGGUUGCCUUUAUGUUUAGUAUGCACACUGAAGUGGAUUAUAUACAGCUGUGAAGAAGGGUUAUUCCUCAAUACUUUAUUUCCCAUACCACCAUACUUCGCCACAGCAACGCGUGGCCGGGCACAGCUAGUGUAUAUAU